rnacentral:rRNA from 1 species
GGUGGAUUAGUGGCGAACGGGUGAGUAACACGUGAGUAACCUGCCCCCGACUUUGGGAUAAGCCCGGGAAACUGGGUCUAAUACCGGAUAUGACUUCCUGCCGCAUGGUGGGUUGUUGAAAGAUUUAUCGGUGGGGGAUGGACUCGCGGCCUAUCAGCUUGUUGGUGAGGUAAUGGCUCACCAAGGCGACGACGGGUAGCCGGCCUGAGAGGGUGACCGGCCACACUGGGACUGAGACACGGCCCAGACUCCUACGGGAGGCAGCAGUGGGGAAUAUUGCACAAUGGGCGGAAGCCUGAUGCAGCGACGCCGCGUGAGGGAUGACGGCCUUCGGGUUGUAAACCUCUUUCAGUAGGGAAGAAGCGAAAGUGACGGUACCUGCAGAAGAAGCGCCGGCUAACUACGUGCCAGCAGCCGCGGUAAUACGUAGGGCGCAAGCGUUAUCCGGAUUUAUUGGGCGUAAAGAGCUCGUAGGCGGUUUGUCGCGUCUGCCGUGAAAGUCCGAGGCUCAACCUCGGAUCUGCGGUGGGUACGGGCAGACUAGAGUGAUGUAGGGGAGACUGGAAUUCCUGGUGUAGCGGUGAAAUGCGCAGAUAUCAGGAGGAACACCGAUGGCGAAGGCAGGUCUCUGGGCAUUUACUGACGCUGAGGAGCGAAAGCA